AACGAACGCUGGCGGCGUGCCUAACACAUGCAAGUCGAACGGGAUUCGGAGCUUGCUCCGAUGAGAGUGGCGCACGGGUGAGUAACGCGUAGAUAAUCUGCCUGAUGAUCUGGGAUAACAGUUCGAAAGGACUGCUAAUACCGGAUAAGCCCACGGAGACCUUGGUCUUUUCGGGAAAAGGGGGGGACCUUCGGGCCUUCCGUCAUCAGAUGAGUCUGCGUACCAUUAGCUAGUUGGUAGGGUAAAGGCCUACCAAGGCGACGAUGGUUAGCUGGUCUGAGAGGAUGAUCAGCCACACUGGAACUGAGACACGGUCCAGACUCCUACGGGAGGCAGCAGUGGGGAAUUUUGCGCAAUGGGGGAAACCCUGACGCAGCAACGCCGCGUGAGUGAUGAAGGCUCUUGGGUCGUAAAGCUCUGACAGAGGGAAAGAAGUGUAUGGUGGUUAAUACCCAUUGUACUUGACGGUACCCUCAAAGGAAGCACCGGCUAACUCCGUGCCAGCCGCCGCCGUAA
rnacentral:rRNA from 1 species